ACCCCCCGCUGCCCGGGGAAGCCAGGGAAGGCAUUACAGAUACCCGACGCGCAAGCGAAGCUGGAGGAAUCCCGAACUUGUCGCGACAGAGAUCAGGCGAGCCCGAGACCGAUUCUCCCUCCCCCCACCGCCCAGAUCUCCUCGGAGUCACUUCCGGCGGGGGCGCGGGGGGCGCGGGCGCCUAGUCCCGAGCGUCCCCUAUCGAUUCCUCGCCGCCCCGGCCCGCUCGCGAGCCCGCAAGUCCUUCAUCUCCUGCGCGGACGGCUUAACACCCCCGAGCCCCGGCGGGGAACUUCCAAGACGCCCCAGAAAAAGGCCCCGGGAGCAGGGCGAGUUGCGCGCGCGCACGCGGCCGCCUGGCAGGCGGUCCUGGCCGCCGACGCGGCGCCCGGGACCCGACCCACGGUCUCCGCGCUACCUGUAGGGAGCCCCACGGCCCUACCGCCCCACCCUCCCGGGGCAGGAGGCGGAGGUGAAGUGGCACAGCUACUUCCGAGUGCCGUCGUGGGUGGCUCUGAAAAGAGCCUUUGGAUAGGAUGGAACCUCGAGCCGAGCGCUCACUCAAGCCCGCUCCCCGCGGAUGCGGCGCGCCAGCUGGAUGUCCUUGGGCAUGAUGGUGACGCGCUUGGCGUGGAUGGCGCACAGGUUGGUGUCCUCGAAGAGCCCCACCAGGUAGGCCUCGCUCGCCUCCUGCAGCGCCAUGACGGCCGAGCUCUGGAAGCGCAGGUCCGUCUUGAAGUCCUGCGCGAUCUCGCGCACCAGCCGCUGGAACGGCAGCUUGCGGAUCAGCAGCUCCGUGGACUUCUGGUAGCGCCGGAUCUCGCGCAGGGCCACCGUGCCCGGCCGGUAGCGGUGCGGCUUCUUGACGCCGCCCGUGGCCGGCGCGCUCUUGCGGGCCGCCUUGGUGGCCAGCUGUUUGCGCGGGGCCUUGCCGCCGGUCGACUUGCGGGCGGUCUGUUUCGUACGAGCCAUGGCGAAGCGGCUGGGAGAGUAACGGCGCCCCGGCCCGCCGCAGCGGUCUUUAUAGGCACCGUCUCUCUCCGAUUGGGCGGGGCAAUAAUUGAAAGUCCCGCGCUGGCUGUCCAUUGGCCGCGACGUCACCCUCCCCGGCGCCACCGAUUGGCCUGGGCGGAUCCUCCUAGCCCCGCCCACCCGCCUCGCUCUCUACUCUCCAGGUUGCCAACGGUCUUCCCUAGCUUGUUUUUCCUUUCUUUCCGCGGGCGGGGGGACGGGGGGGGGUCAUCUUUGAUCGCCACCGUGUCCGAAUGUUCCUCCUCAGCCCUUCGCCCCCUUUAG
rnacentral:lncRNA from 12 species